rnacentral:rRNA from 1 species
UACAGAGGUCCCGAGCGUUUGUUCGGAUUCACUGGGCGUAAAGGGUGCGUAGGUGGCAUGGAAAGUUUGAUGUGAAAGCUCAGGGCUUAACCCUGAAAUGGCAUUGAAUACUGCCGUGCUGGAGGUUUGGAGGGGGGACUGGAAUUCUUGGUGUAGCAGUGAAAUGCGUAGAUAUCAAGAGGAACACCAGUGGCGAAGGCGAGUCCCUGGACAACACCUGACACUGAGGCACGAAAGCUAGGGGAGCAAACAGG